UGUACCGUUGAAUACUUUAAACCAAGAUUUUAUGCCUGAUCUUGAAAUUCGUGCACUUUAUAUAGUACCCAAACAGCUUCUAGAAAUUGAUCCCACAAUCCAAACUUUUUCAACAUUUCUUCUAGGUAGAUCAAGCUGACCCUGUCGAAAGCUUUUUCAGCAUCUAACGAGUCGGUAUAGAUCCCCUUCAGGGCUGUGAGGAUUCUUUGUUUAUCAGCAUACGACUGACAAAAUAGUAUGUCUCAGGUCCUGGCAGCUGGAGCUUGGGGAGACUUGGCUAUGCG